UACGUAGGGGGCGAGCGUUGUCCGGAUUUAUUGGGCGUAAAGAGCUCGUAGGCGGUUCAGUAAGUCGGAUGUGAAAACUCGGGGCUCAACCCCGAGCCUGCACCCGAUACUGCUGUGACUUGAGUCUGGUAGAGGAGUGUGGAACUCCCGGUGUAGCGGUGAAAUGCGCAGAUAUCGGGAAGAACACCAGCGGCGAAGGCGGCACUCUGGGCCAGCACUGACGCUGAGGAGCGAAAGCGUGGGUAGCGAACAGG
rnacentral:rRNA from 1 species